GCCCAAACCAGAAACUUGUUUCUGGGGUUGUGGAUAGAUCAUAAAAGAAGAGGUAUCUUAAUCGAAGAGGGCUGGAACGCCCUACCAUAGAAGGUAAUAGUCCUGUAGGUAAAAAGAGAAAACUUCGAGAUCUAAUCCAGAGUACCACGAGACACGUGAAACCUUGUGGGAAGCAGGGAGGACCACCUCCCAAGGCUAAAUACUACCUAGUGACCGAUAGUGAAGCAGUACCGUGA
rnacentral:rRNA from 1 species